rnacentral:rRNA from 1 species
UACGGGGGGGGCAAGCGUUGUUCGGAAUUACUGGGCGUAAAGGGCUCGUAGGCGGCCAACUAAGUCAUACGUGAAAUCCCUCGGCUUAACCGGGGAACUGCGUCUGAUACUGGAUGGCUUGAGUUCGGGAGAGGGAUGCGGAAUUCCAGGUGUAGCGGUGAAAUGCGUAGAUAUUCGCAAGAACACCAGUGGCGAAGGCGGCUCACUGGCCCGGUACUGACGCUGAGGUGCGAAAGCGUGGGGAGCAAACAGG